rnacentral:rRNA from 1 species
GAUGAACGCUGGCGGCGUGCCUAAUACAUGCAAGUCGAACGAAGCGGGGAUGGGUGAGUAACACGUGUAUAAAAUCCCCUAUGACUGGGAUAACCUCCGGAAACCGGAACUUAUCCGGAUCCUUAUACAUGGAUCCACGCGGCAUUAGCUAGUUGGUCAGGUAACGGCUUACCAAGGCAAUGAUUCAUAGCCGACCUGAGAGGAUGAUCGGCCACACUGGAACUGAGACACGGUCCAGACUCCUACGGGAGGCAGCAGUAGGGAAUCUUCCUCAAUGGGCGCAAGCCUGACGGAGCAACGCCGCGUGAAUGAUGAAGGUCUUCGGGUCGUAAAGCACUGUUAUUAGGGAAGCGGUACCGAAUCAAAAAGCACCGGCUAACUCCGUGCCAGCAGCCGCGGUAAUAC